UACGAAGGGGGCUAGCGUUGCUCGGAAUCACUGGGCGUAAAGCGUCUGCAGGUGGUUUCCUAAGUCCACUGUUAAACCUUGAGGCUCAACCUCAAAAUCUGCAUUGGAAACUAGGAGACUUGAGUAUAGUAGGGGUAGAGGGAAUUUCCAGUGGAGCGGUGAAAUGCGUAGAUAUUGGAAAGAACACCGAUGGCGAAGGCACUCUACUGGGCUAUUACUGACACUCAGAGACGAAAGCUAGGGGAGCAAAUGGG
rnacentral:rRNA from 1 species